GACGAACGCUGGCGGCGUGCUUAACACAUGCAAGUCGAACGGAAAGGCCCUGCUUUUGUGGGGUGCUCGAGUGGCGAACGGGUGAGUAACACGUGAGUAACCUGCCCUUGACUUUGGGAUAACUUCAGGAAACUGGGGCUAAUACCGGAUAGGAGCUCCUGCUGCAUGGUGGGGGUUGGAAAGUUUCGGCGGUUGGGGAUGGACUCGCGGCUUAUCAGCUUGUUGGUGGGGUAGUGGCUUACCAAGGCUUUGACGGGUAGCCGGCCUGAGAGGGUGACCGGCCAAAUUGGGACUGGGGUACGGCCCCGAAUCCUAAGGGAGGGAGGAGUGGGGAAUAUUGCACAAUGGGCGGAAGCCUGAUGCAGCAACGCCGCGUGCGGGAUGACGGCCUUCGGGUUGUAAACCGCUUUCGCCUGUGACGAAGCGUGAGUGACGGUAAUGGGUAAAGAAGCACCGGCUAACUACGUG
rnacentral:rRNA from 1 species